rnacentral:lncRNA from 1 species
UUUUUUUAAGUUGAGAUUAACAUUUAAAUCAGUGGACUUUGAGCAGUCUGCCCUCCAUAAUGUGGGUGGGCCUCACCCAAUCAGUUGAAGGCCUUAAGAACGAAGACUGAGAUCCCAGAGAAGAAGGAAUUCUGCCUCAAGACUGCCUUUGGACUUGAACUACAGGAUCAAUUAUGUGAACCAAUUCCUUAAGCUCUGUCUCCCCACACCCACACCUCUCUCUCUCUCUCUACACACACACACACACACACACACACACACACACACACACACGCACAAUCUUUGGAGAACCCUGACUAAUACACAGAAAUAAUUUCAUUUGUUCAUAAAGUUUAAUAUGAGAUUUGACGGUUGUCUUCCUAAGAAACCUGGCCAUGGAGCAGAAAUAGUGACCAUUAUAAUUUGGCCUCUAGAAGAAGGUAACAACCAAGACCAGAUUUUUAAUGAUGCUUCUGUAAACAAUGCAUAUAUAAGUAUGAAAGAGAGAGAGAGAUGGGGAAGGAGGGAGAGAGAGACAGAAAGAAAGUGUGGAUAAAUCACAGUUCCCUUGGAGUGUUGUUUCGAUUUCCCAUAUUUAGAGUUUUUAAUUCAAAGAGAGCUUUUCAGUUGCCGCUUUUAAGUUGGGUGAAACAGAUGAGCAGUUAACCCUUCCAAGGUAGUGAGACUUUUGUACAGUGCAUCAUGUAGAUGCAGGUGAUAUACACUGAAGAUAAAUGGUUCAUCUGGAGUCCAACCACGACCCCCCAAAAUGCAGUAAUGAGGCUAUGACUGAAUGGAGUUUGCUGUGAGUACAAGACUUCACUGUCAAGUUUUGAAGACAUUUGAAUAGGUUGCUGAAAUGUUUAAAUGCAAGAAAACACUGCUGAAAACUGAACUUGAGUAAAAUUAACAUUGCUAUUUUUAGUUUAAAACCAUGCAAAAUUUUCUGCGGAUCAUAUGGGGGCAGAAAGAAGAAAAGAAGAAAUAAUGCAAAAAAGAAAUUGUGACUUACAGUUUCAGUAUAUGUUAUAUAAGUAAGUUAACUUUAUAUAAGUGAUAAAUUAUAAGUAUAUGCUUUAUAAGUGUAUAAGUUAACUUUAGAAGUUUUAAAAUGGUAGGUAGGCCCACUGGCAGAGACCAUAAGUCCUGGAUUGCUUGGGACACUUCCACUUUAUUCUGUGGUUAUAUGUAAUUAUUAACAGCAUCCCCUUUUACUCUCAAAAUGAUCCAGUAUGGAUGAUAAAUAUGAUCACCCUAUGAGUUGGCCAAAGAGCAGCUUAUCAUAAUUUUGAUGAGAAGUUUUUAAGCAGCAGCCAUAAGUUGGAAUUUAAGUGUUAAGUUUAAACUUUAGGAAAAACUGAAAUCUAAACAUGUGUUUUGACAUAAUGCAGAAUAUAAUAUGGAUUUUUGUGUAUCAGUGUUUUAUUAACCCCGAUUUAAUUGUUCUUGCAUUAGAGCAAGAUACAUUUUUCUAAUUGGAGUUUUAAGCUUGGACUUACUAAUUCAUAAGCCAUAAACAUGAAUAUUAUUAUUUUUUAAUUUAAAAAGUAUUUAUUUUUCAGUUUUAUUGUGGCAUAACUGGCAAAU